rnacentral:rRNA from 2 species
UAGGGAAUCUUCCGCAAUGGGCGAAAGCUUGACGGAGCAACGCCGCGUGAGUGAUGAAGGUCUUCGGAUCGUAAAACUCUGUUAUUAGGGAAGAACAAAUGUGUAAGUAACUAUGCACGUCUUGACGGUACCUAAUCAGAAAGCCACGGCUAACUACGUGCCAGCAGCCGCGGUAAUACGUAGGUGGCAAGCGUUAUCCGGAAUUAUUGGGCGUAAAGCGCGCGUAGGCGGUUUUUUAAGUCUGAUGUGAAAGCCCACGGCUCAACCGUGGAGGGUCAUUGGAAACUGGAAAACUUGAGUGCAGAAGAGGAGAGUGGAAUUCCAUGUGUAGCGGUGAAAUGCGCAGAGAUAUGGAGGAACACCAGUGGCGAAGGCGACUUUCUGGUCUGUAACUGACGCUGAUGUGCGAAAGCGUGGGGAUCAAACAGG